GAUGAACGCUGGCGGCGUGCCUAAUACAUGCAAGUCGAGCGAACAGACGAGGAGCUUGCUCCUCUGACGUUAGCGGCGGACGGGUGAGUAACACGUGGAUAACCUACCUAUAAGACUGGGAUAACUUCGGGAAACCGGAGCUAAUACCGGAUAAUAUAUUGAACCGCAUGGUUCAAUAGUGAAAGACGGUUUUGCUGUCACUUAUAGAUGGAUCCGCGCCGCAUUAGCUAGUUGGUAAGGUAACGGCUUACCAAGGCAACGAUGCGUAGCCGACCUGAGAGGGUGAUCGGUCACACUGGAACUGAGACACGGUCCAGACUCCUACGGGAGGCAGCAGUAGGGAAUCUUCCGCAAUGGGCGAAAGCUUGACGGAGCAACGCCGCGUGAGUGAUGAAGGUCUUCGGAUCGUAAAACUCUGUUAUUAGGGAAGAACAAAUGUGUAAGUAACUAUGCAUGUCUUGACGGUACCUAAUCAGAAAGCCACGGCUAACUACGUG
rnacentral:rRNA from 1 species